UAUACUGGUUUCUACCUAAAGGAUUGGGGUUCGAAUCUUACCUAUGCCAAAGGUAAUUUUAUUUUUCUGGUGAUUAAUGAAACUACCAAAAUAUCCUUGACUUUUGUGUUAUUAAAGAAAAUAUCUUCUAGGUCUCUUAUAAUUUUCCCCAAGUAAGCUUUAAUAUUUUAAAACUCCCUCUGUCAAUUAAAGAAAAUAGAGCACAUCAAGAAAGAGUGUCCAGUUUCUUUUACACAAGUCUCCUCCACAUCACUGACUUGCUUAUCUGAUCCCCGCCAACAACUAGCACCCCAUGCCAUCAAAAUUUCUCCACCAUAAAUGAUGAGGCUGUUCGAUUUCCUUUCCUCCUUUCCUCCCUUGUUUGCCUGUCGCGUGAGUUAUGCUAGUGUGUGUGUGAUGUUAGCCUUCCUCUCCUCUAUCUCAUCACCAGUGAUGUGGGCUACCAAAAAUCCUUGCCUUUCUGUCAUCCUUCAUACCUCCUCUAUCCAUAUCCAUCAUGGUUGUUGCUGUUAGACCUUUCACAAGUAGCAACAUCACUGGCAUUGGUUCGUUUACGUCGUCACCAUUUCGGUGGUCAUGGGAUACGUUAGCUGAUGUUAUGCCUUCCGCUAAUCCUUGAGGGGCUGUAAUACUCAAUUGAGAUGAAAAGCUGUAAUCAAGUUUCUUUAAAGUAAAUUUAAAACCAUGUAUUUUGAUUUGUAAACUUCUUUUGUCAGGUGCUCUACAUAAGCUAUAGUUAGGGUCCUCAUCCUUAUUAUUUAUACUUUGUUAUUUUCUGAUCAGAAGAGAGUUCCUUGCUACUACUAUUGUUUUGUAAAAUAUUUGUAGAUUUGUUUUUGGGGAGAUUUUAUUUUAAGGGGAGAUCCUAUUGAAAUUUUUACAAAAAUAUUAAA